rnacentral:rRNA from 1 species
ACGAACGCUGGCGGCGUGCCUAAUACAUGCAAGUAGAACGCUGAAGGAGGAGCUUGCUUCUCUGGAUGAGUUGCGAACGGGUGAGUAACGCGUAGGUAACCUGCCUGGUAGCGGGGGGUAACUACUGGAAACGAUAGCUAAUACCGCAUAAUAGUAGAUGUUGCAUGACAUUUGCUUAAAAGGUGCAAUUGCAUCACUACCAGAUGGACCUGCGUUGUAUUAGCUAGUUGGUGGGGUAACGGCUCACCAAGGCGACGAUACAUAGCCGACCUGAGAGGGUGAUCGGCCACACUGGGACUGAGACACGGCCCAGACUCCUACGGGAGGCAGCAGUAGGGAAUCUUCGGCAAUGGACGGAAGUCUGACCGAGCAACGCCGCGUGAGUGAAGAAGGUUUUCGGAUCGUAAAGCUCUGUUGUAAGAGAAGAACGAGUGUGAGAGUGGAAAGUUCACACUGUGACGGUAUCUUACCAGAAAGGGACGGCUAACUACGUGC